UACGUAGGGUGCGAGCGUUAAUCGGAAUUACUGGGCGUAAAGCGUGCGCAGGCGGUUAUGCAAGACAGAUGUGAAAUCCCCGGGCUCAACCUGGGAACUGCAUUUGUGACUGCAAGGCUGGAGUGUGGCAGAGGAGACUGGAAUUCCCGGUGUAGCAGUGAAAUGCGUAGAUAUCGGGAGGAAUACCGAUGGCGAAGGCAGGUCUCUGGGCUGACACUGACGCUCAUGCACGAAAGCGUGGGGAGCAAACAGG
rnacentral:rRNA from 1 species